rnacentral:lncRNA from 1 species
UAAGUCACUGUAGUAUCUUUGCCAAAAAAACCCCAAAUGAGGUCCCAAAGAGUCAGACAUGACUGAACAACAACAACAACAACUUCUAUUAAAUCUGUUACCAAUUUGGUGAGCCCUUGGGAGCUGAGGUUACUAGGCUGCCUAAGGAGAAGCAAACAAACCCUGGCCAACAACAGAGAAGGUCAAAGUUCUUGUGCUGAUCAGAGGCCAGAGGCCUAGACAAAAUAACCUCACAUCACGCAAGAGACCACCUGCUCCAAAACGGAAGUCCAAAAAGAAUCAAGAGAGACCGCCCUCAAAAGCCUUUGAAUCAGCUUAAAUACCUUCUCAAUCUCGGCCCAGGCAAAGAACAGUAAACUCAUGAGGAUGAUUAUCUCUAAUGACUUGUCCUGGGUAACCAGUGCUCAAAAGAUUCUGUGAACUGAUGACCUUGUUUUAUGAAACCUCCAAAUUUACCUUUGUUCCUUGGAGAACUUGCCUUCAGGUUGUACCUUAUUGGAUGUCCAGUUUUUUGACAGCAAACCUGCAGGCUGAGGCCAAGUAGGUGAAGGUUUUUAACUGUUGGGGCCAAUGAGGUUGUCAGAUCAAGCAUGGAAAUUGGAGAAAACUAGGUAAGAUUUCAGGUCAGGUCAGUAAGGUUUCAAUGGGCAGGGAAUACUAUUAAUAAUUAUAAUACU